AUACGGAGGGUGCAAGCGUUACUCGGAAUCACAGGGCGUAAAGCGCGCGCAGGCGGUCUUUUAAGUUGGAUGUGAAAGCCUACGGCUCAACCGUAGAACUGCAUCCAAAACUAUUAGACUAGAGUGUGGGAGGGGAAGAUGGAAUUAGUUGUGUAGGGGUAAAAUCCGUAGAGAUAACUAGGAAUACCAAAAGCGAAGGCAAUCUUCUGGAACACUACUGACGCUGAGGCGCGAAAGCGUGGGGAGCAAACAGGAUUAGAUACCCUAGUAGUCC
rnacentral:rRNA from 1 species